UACGUAGGGGGCGAGCGUUGUCCGGAAUGACUGGGCGUAAAGGGCGUGUAGGCGGCCGAUUAAGUCUGGAGUGAAAGUCCUGCAGUCAAAGUGGGAAUUGCUUUGGAUACUGGUUGGCUUGAGUGCAGAAGAGGUAAGCGGAAUUCCCAGUGUAGCGGUGAAAUGCGUAGAGAUUGGGAGGAACACCAGUGGCGAAGGCGGCUUACUGGGCUGUAACUGACGCUGAGGCGCGAAAGCGUGGGGAGCGAAC
rnacentral:rRNA from 1 species